UGGGGAAUAUUGGACAAUGGGCGCAAGCCUGAUCCAGCCAUGCCGCGUGUGUGAAGAAUGCCUUUCGGUUGUAAAGCACUUUAAGCGAGGAGGAGGCUACUUGGAUUAAUACUCUAAGAUAGUGGACGUUACUCGCAGAAUAAGCACCGGCUAACUCUGUGCCAGCAGCCGCGGUAAUACAGAGGGUGCGAGCGUUAAUCGGAUUUACUGGGCGUAAAGCGUGCGUAGGCGGCUUCUUAAGUCGGAUGUGAAAUCCCUGAGCUUAACUUAGGAAUUGCAUUCGAUACUGGGAAGCUAGAGUAUGGGAGAGGAUGGUAGAAUACCAGGUGUAGCGGUGAAAUGCGUAGAAAUCUGGAGGAAUACCGAUAGCGGAGGCAGCCAUCUGGCCUAAUACUGACGCUGAGGUACGAAAGCAUGGGGAGCAAACAGG
rnacentral:rRNA from 1 species